rfam:Streptomyces sp. e14 genomic scaffold supercont1.1, whole genome shotgun sequence.
CACCGAGUCCGAGGUUCCGGGCCUGACCGGAACCGGGUGCGAAAGGGA